rnacentral:snRNA from 1 species
GUUCUCACUUCAGCAGCGCAUAUACUAAAACUGGAACGAUACAAAGAAGAUUAGGAUGGCCCCUGUGCAAGGAUGACACGAAAAUUCCAUAUUUUUUU